rnacentral:rRNA from 1 species
AUUGAACGCUGGCGGAAUGCCUUACACAUGCAAGUCGAACGGUAACGGGCCUUCGGGUGCCGACGAGUGGCGAACGGGUGAGUAAUGCAUCGGAACGUACCUUUCAGUGGGGGAUAACGUAGCGAAAGUUACGCUAAUACCGCAUAUUCUGUGAGCAGGGAAGCAGGGGAUCGCAAGACCUUGCGCUGAUUGAGCGGCCGAUGUCAGAUUAGCUAGUUGGUGAGGUAAAGGCUCACCAAGGCGACGAUCUGUAGCGGGUCUGAGAGGAUGAUCCGCCACACUGGGACUGAGACACGGCCCAGACUCCUACGGGAGGCAGCAGUGGGGAAUUUUGGACAAUGGGGGCAACCCUGAUCCAGCCAUGCCGCGUGAGUGAAGAAGGCCUUCGGGUUGUAAAGCUCUUUCGGCCGGGAAGAAAUCGCACAGGCUAAUACCUUGUGUGGAUGACGGUACCGGAAUAAGAAGCACCGGCUAACUACGUGCCAGCAGCCGCGGUAAAAC